AGGACGAACGCUGGCGGCACGCUUAACACAUGCAAGUCGAACGGAGUAUUGGAGCUUGCUUGAAUAACUUAGUGGCGGACGGGUGAGUAACACGUGAGCAACCUGCCUUUGAGAGCGGAAUAGCUUCUGGAAACGGAUGGUAAUACCGCAUAACAUUACCGGACCGCAUGAUCUGGUAAUCAAAGAUUUAUCGCUCAAAGAUGGGCUCGCGUCUGAUUAGAUAGUUGGUGGGGUAACGGCCUACCAAGUCGACGAUCAGUAGCCGGACUGAGAGGUUGGACGGCCACAUUGGGACUGAGACACGGCCCAGACUCCUACGGGAGGCAGCAGUGGGGAAUAUUGCACAAUGGGCGGAAGCCUGAUGCAGCGAUGCCGCGUGGAGGAAGAAGGUUUUCGGAUUGUAAACUCCUGAUCUGAGGGACGAUAAUGACGGUACCUCAGGAGAAAGCUCCGGCUAACUACGUGCCAGCCGCCGC
rnacentral:rRNA from 1 species